rnacentral:lncRNA from 1 species
GGCGGCAAAAAGCCACGGCGGCGAGGGCAAAGAGCCCCAAAAGCCGCGGCGGCAGGGGCUAAAUUCCGCGAGGCCGGGGGCAGAAAGCCGCGGCGGCGGGGGCAGAAAGCCGCAAAAACCCGCAGCGGCGGGGUCAAAAAUCCACGACGGCAAAAAGCCGCGUCGGCGGGGGCAAAAUAGUGGAAAUGGGGUAGACAGCCAGCACAGCUUGGCAUUCCUGGAGUGUGAUGUGGAAGGAAAAGUGCAGAGGAAGACAAACAAAGAUGUAGAAACAGAGUUAGAUAAAAAAAGGACUUGUCUCGGAGCAUGAUUUCUGAAAAUAGUGGAAUCGAGUUUGAAUCUAGAUACAUUCUGGCCGAGUGUGAGUACAACCUAUGGAUGUGGUUGGAGAGAACAAGUGUUCCACCUGAAUAGCAGAUCAGGAUUAUUUCUUCUCAUCUGCUGCAAUGGCUCAAUGUGUUAAGGAGAGGAGCGAGACAGCAAGAACCGCAUUCAUUCAGUCAUACAGACCAAAAGGAGGAAUGUCGCCCAGCCCUCUAAACUGACCCAGAACCCAGCUCAUGUCUCAACUGCUACCUCUCCUACUUAGAAAGAAGUAACUCAACCAAAGCAGGGCUCUGGACAAAUAUAUUUUUAUUGAUCAUAUACAAAUAGAUGAAGAUGGACUUGGAUGUUAAGAAAAAUAAUACUAUACAAAAUCGAGAGUAGACAGUCGCCCCUAGACUUAAAUUAAGGGUGUGUACAUUAGAUAGUUUAAUCCAAUAUAUCAGGUAAAAACUUGAACAAAACUUUUGGCCUCUUCCUUAAAAUUCCAGGAUGCAUGUCCUCCAAGAAGCAGAAUCAAAAUAUAAAUAAAAGACUGGCUUAAGAUGAAAGGAAACCUUACAAACGAAAAGAAGCCAGAUGAGAGGCACUUAACUGAGAAUGAAAAGAAACUGAGUGGACAAAAUAAUUAUGAGAAGAUGAACCUUCAAAUCAGAAAGAGGGCAAAAAGCUUAUUUGAUACUAUGGGAACUCAAAAGAGAGUGAACACAAAUGUGAAAAUUCCAGGAGUAAAGAAAAGUAGCAUAGCUAAAUUAAGAGCAUGAGAAAAUGUAUACAAUUUUGAGUAAUAACAGAAAUCAAAAGUAACUAUUGUAUGUUAUAUUUUAGUAGAGCAACACUGAAGAAGAAUGAAAACAAGAAAUAAUAUUAAAUAUGAACAUAUGGA